rnacentral:lncRNA from 1 species
CUCAGCAAAUUUGUCUUGUCUCAACAGCAUUCUAACUACAAGACCGAUCGGAUAAUGCAGAAAAGAAAGCACAGGAGACAAAUGGUUUAUGACACUCCGGUUACCUUUACUGUGCAAGGUGGGCGUGAAAUUUUUUAUGGUGAGACAAAAAAGAUGAUGGGCAAUUAACUACAAACUCUUGCAGCAGGUUUAUCAUAUGCUCGGCUCAUCCAUCUGUGUCUCAGUCUCCGGUGGACUCAUGAGUUUCAUCAAGAAAACCAUUUUCAAACCAGCAGACCAAAACAGAUCGUUUUCAACUCCCAGCCUCAUCGAGGCUUUGCAGUAGUUUUGCCUCGCGUUUACGAUUUAUGGAUGCAACAAACACAGAGCAGACAGAAGUGGUCCAGAGAUCUCCCCAUCGCAGGGUGUGUGCCUCCAAACACCGCUCAUCCAGGUCUGAAGACGUAACAAGUACAGGCAUCAUCCCAGAGCUUAUGUUGGCUGACAGAAAGUUGCUAAUCCUGGUGUUUGAGGCUGAAAGCAUCCCCUGCCUUCAAACAGCAGCACGGCUGAGUGCACCAUGA